rnacentral:rRNA from 1 species
AGAGUUUGAUCCUGGCUCAGGAUGAACGCUAGCUACAGGCUUAACACAUGCAAGUCGAGGGGAAACGACAUCGAAAGCUUGCUUUUGAUGGGCGUCGACCGGCGCACGGGUGAGUAACGCGUAUCCAACCUGCCCACCACUUGGGGAUAACCUUGCGAAAGUAAGACUAAUACCCGAUGAUAUCCCUAGAAGACAUCUGAAAGGGAUUAAAGAUUUAUCGGUGAUGGAUGGGGAUGCGUCUGAUUAGCUUGUUGGCGGGGUAACGGCCCACCAAGGCAACGAUCAGUAGGGGUUCUGAGAGGAAGGUCCCCCACAUUGGAACUGAGACACGGUCCAAACUCCUACGGGAGGCAGCAGUGAGGAAUAUUGGUCAAUGGGCGAGAGCCUGAACCAGCCAAGUAGCGUGCAGGACGACGGCCCUAUGGGUUGUAAACUGCUUUUAUAAGGGAAUAAAGUGAGCCUCGUGAGACUUUUUGCAUGUACCUUAUGAAUAAGGACCGGCUAAUUCCGUGCCAGCAGCCGCGGUAAUACGGAAGGUCCGGGCGUUAUCCGGAUUUAUUGGGUUUAAAGGGAGCGUAGGCCGGAGAUUAAGCGUGUUGUGAAAUGUAGACGCUCAACGUCUGCACUGCAGCGCGAACUGGUUUCCUUGAGUACGCACAAAGUGGGCGGAAUUCGUGGUGUAGCGGUGAAAUGCUUAGAUAUCACGAAGAACUCCGAUUGCGAAGGCAGCUCACUGGAGCGCAACUGACGCUGAAGCUCGAAAGUGCGGGUAUCGAACAGGAUUAGAUACCCUGGUAGUCCGCACGGUAAACGAUGGAUGCCCGCUGUUGGUCUGAAUAGGUCAGCGGCCAAGUCGAAAGU